UUUUUUUGUCUUUUUCUAGAGAACAGUUUAUUUUUUUAAUUUUUAUUUUAUUUUUGUGUUUUUCUAGGUAAGUGGAUUUAGUGAUUACUCAGGAUUUCAAUACCAGUGAUGUAACGUUACUGUAAGGCAGAACAUUCUUGUGAAAACUUUCUGUUGAGAGAUGCCUGGAGGAUGCCUCUGUUGAGGAGGUAAACUCAAACCCUAGCUUCCCAACCCCAUGGUCCUCUUCCUCAGGUCUUGCACUAGACCAGGUGGUGGUGGGCAUGCAAAUCCCUUUUGGGAAAGACCAGAAGAAGAGGGUCAUGGGGUUUGGGAAGUGGUGCCUCUUCCCUUCCUAGGGUUUGAGUUUGCCUCUGGGCUUGGGGAGAAAGCCCUGCAGUACCUGAGCCGUGUCAACCUGGAAUGGGGGAGAAGGCAGCGUAGACUUGCUCUUGUUGGGCAAAGACAUAAAUGAUGGCGUCCGAGCGACAUCACUAGAAAGGAAAUGCUUACAGCGUGUCAGGUACUAUUUGAAUCAUUUUAUGUUUAAGUCGUUCUCACAGCCUAUGACGCUGUUAUUUCUGUAGGUCAGAGCUGGUAAAAUAUUGUCACUUCGACAUAGUUUACAGAUUUUCCACCUUAAGAUGUGAACAAAAGAUUUUUUAAUAAUGACACAACGUCCCAAAGCUAAUGGGUGGCUGUACAGAUCAAGUGUUCUUGCAGGAACAAAAGGCACCUUCAGAAGGGGAUGACUGAGACAUUAAUGAAAGACUGCUUACAGAUGGGGGUUAAAUGAAAUCAACAAGGAUAGAGGAAGUUUCUGGAAAAGCCAUCUUAAAGCAGUCCAGUGGGCACUGGGAGGUGGCUGGAGCUGGAAGCAAAGGGGUGAAGUGUGUGUGUGUGUCUGUGUUUAGGACGGGUGACUUAGAAGUCACCUCUCAGUGUGCUGGUCUUAUAGAUGGUGCCAGUAUAAAAGGACUGAGGUCAGGUGUUUAUUCUUUAUAAUAUAUAAUGCCUGUCAAAAAAUUUUGCAGGAGCCAUUCCGAGCACAGCAUGGACCACUGCAAGGGAUUGACAGCUAGAUAUUAGUCACGAGUUCUUAAAUACCAUCCAUUUAUCAUCAGCCCUUAAUUAAUGGGGACCCAACUGCCCAGAACACGCAGUGAGACUUCUGCCUCCUCUUUAUCCCCUGCCCCCUGCCGGGUCACACUGAGGAGGAAGGGGAAUGACAAGCAAACAUGAUGUCCAAGUUUGAAGAAGCCACCUGUAGCCAGAGCAGCCAGUCCUUGGUAAGUGUCCAGAUACUGUCAGUCAAGCCCGACUUCCCUCUCAACUUUUCAUCUUUACACUGUCUCUUGCCAACCUCUGUUCCCUCUGUUCCAGCUGCCCCCUUCCUCCACUGGCUCCCAUCCACUAACCCUGAUGGAUGGAAAAUACUUUCUCAGAAGUGACUAGAAGAAACCUGAGAAAUGACUCUUGCACAAGGAAGCCAGGCUGCCCACCCCAUUUGAGGAUGUGUUCAAUCCUAAGGAUAACUCACCUAUUUUAUUGUAUUUUAUUUUUUGGCUGUACCGAUGGCCUGUGGAAGUUCCUGGGUCAGGGCUGAAACUGCACCACAGCAGUGACAACGCCAGAUCUUUAGCCCACUGUAUCACCAGGGAACUCUGCACCCAUUUUAAAAUCUAAGAACAUCCCAACCAAUGCCCAUGGCACCUACAGCUGGCUUGACUUCCCCAGAUGCUCCUGAUAAUCUAAUUCUCUCCUAACAUAAGAGGUAAUGUCAUGCUUCAUGCUUCAAAUGGACCCUCCCUGUAUCUUUUUUUCAGGAAACACUCCUUCACCUUAAAUUCAAGUGUUUAAAAGUUCAAAGCACUUAAUGUUUGCACAUAAAGUGAAUUUUAGAUUACAUUCUUUUUUGGAGAGAGUCACAUAACGGGCUGUUACAAAUUUAUUCCAAAAAGCAACUUUCAGAUUCUGUCCUGAGGUCAGUAACAUACAUUCCCUUUGCCUCCUGUACUUACAACUCUGUAACUACAACUCAAGAAAUAAUAUAUGAGGAUUCUGAUACAUGGAAAGAUCCUGAAAAAGUGUUCUGAAUUAUUAAAGAAGAAAUCAUUCAUAGUAUUGGCAUAAGUAUAUUACAUAGUACUGUCAGCCUUUGAACAUUGCUAAGUCAUGUGUGACAUAUACGGUAUAAAGAAAUCAGACUACUCUGUUCUACCUAUUUCUGCUAGUUGAGAAGUUUUAUACAAAAAAUUCAUUUAAUAAUUCUGACACCUGUGGUCAAUUAAUCUUUGACAAAGGAGGCAAAGAAUAUAAAAUGAGAAAAAGACAGUCUUUUCAGCAAGUGGUACUGGGAAAACUGGACAGCAACAUGUAAAUCAGUGAAACUAGAACACACCCUCACACCAUGCACAAAAAUAAAUAACACUGUAAAUCAGCUAUAAUAGAAAAGAUAAAAAUCAUUAUAAAAAUGGCUUAAAGACUUAAACAUAAGACAUCAUAAAACUAGAAGAGAACAUAGGCAAAAUAUUCUCUGACAUCAACUGUGUAAAUGUUUCUUUAGGUCAGUCUCCCAAGGCAAGAGAAGUAAAAGCAAAAAUAAUGGGACAUAAUCAAACUUAAAAGCUUUUGCACAGCAAAGGAAAUAAAACCCCAAAAAGACACCCUAUGGAAUGGGAGAACAUAGUUGCAAAUGAUACAACCAACAAGGGCUUAAUCCCCAAAAUAUACAAACAACUCAUACAACUCAACAGCAAAAACAAAAACAAAACAAAGCAAAAAAACCUGAACAACAACAACAAUAAAAACAACCCAAAUGACAAAUGGGCAGAAGACCUAGAUAUUUCUCCAAAGAAGAUAUACAGAUAGCCAACAAACACAUGAAAAAAAUGCUCAACAUCACUAAUUAUUAGAGAAAUGUAGAUCAAAACUACAAUGAGGUACCAUCUCACACUGGUCAGAACGGCUAUCAUUAAUAAGUCUACAAAUAACAAAUGCUAGAGAGGGUGUGGAGAAAAGGGAACCCUACUUCUCUGUUGGUGGGAAUGUAGACUGGUACAACCAUUAUGGAAAACAGUAUGGAGGUUCCUCAGAGAACUAAAUAUAGAACUACCAGAAGUUCCAGUAAUCCCACUCCUGGGCAUAUAUCUGAAUAAAAAAACUUUCAUUCUAAAAGAUACAUGCACCACUAUAUUCAUUCCAGCACUAUUCACAAUAGCCAAGACAUGGAAACAGCCUAAAUGUCCACUGACAGAUGAAUGGAUUAAGAAGAUGUGGUAUAUAUACACAAAGGAAUACUACUCAGCCAUAAAAAAGAAAAUACCAUUUGCAGCAACAUGGAUAGAACUAGAGAUUCUCAUACUAAGUGAAGUAAGUCAGAAAGAGAAGGACAAAUACCAUAUGAUAUCACUUAUAUGUGGAAUCUAAAACGUGGCACAAAUGAACCUAUCUACAAAACAGAAACAAACUCAUGGGCAGAGAACAGACAUGUGGUUGCCAAGCAGGAGGGGGAGGGAGUGGGAUGGACUGGGAGUUUGGGGUUAGUAGAUGCAAACUGUUGCAUUUGGAGUGAAUAAGCAAUGAGAUCCUGCUGUAUAGCUUAGAGAACUAUAUCCAAUCCCUUGUGAUGGAAAAUAAUGGAAUAUAUGAGAAAAAGAAUGUGUACACACACACACACACACACACACACACACACACACACAUACAUAUAUAUAACUUGGGUGUCACUUUGCUGUACAGCAGAAAUUGACAGGACACUGUCAAUCAACUAUAAUAAACAUUUUUUUUUUAAUUUAAAAAAGAUUUUUAAAAAGUCAAAAAAAAUUGGAAGAACUACUGGAUAAGAAACUCAAUCCAGGAGUUCCUGUUGUGGCUCAGUGGGUUGAGGACCUAAUGUGGUCUCUGUGAGGAUGCAGGUUUGAUCCCUGGUCUCACUCAGUGGAUGAAGGACCCGGCAUUGCCACAAGCUGUGGCAUAGUCCACAGAUGUGGAUUGGAUCUGGGGUUGCUGUGGCACCUGCAGCUCCAACUUGACCCCUAGCCCGUUAACUUCCAUAUGCCGGGGUGCGGCCAGUCGUUGUACCUCUGGGUUUUUCUGUUACCACCUCUAGAGAGGAGAUGCGCUACGACCUCCAAGUUAUAAAAAUCCUCCUGUCAUCCCCACCCUUCUCUUUAGAGCCCAGACUUUGGACUUCAGCUGCAGCUCCUUCUGGGGGUGGGUGUUGCCAUCAGAAGCCCUUUGGUGACCCUCGGUCACUUGUACUGGCAUUGUCACUCUUGGGACAUUUCCCUUAGACUUCUGCUGGUCUCUGUUAAACCAUCAUUUAGUUAACACUCCCGCAGUUACAGAGCAGAGGACAGAACCGGCAGCAGAUGGUAUUUGGAAGCAUAAAGUGACAGACCUGGGAACAUUCCUGGGUGAGAAGCUUCUAUUUCCAGAGUCCUGCUCCUCACCCGGUUCCAGCUCCUUUAUCUGGUGAAGUUCUACAUCCUUUAAGGAUCAAGUCCAAUGUCACUUCUACCUCAUUUGGGAGAGGCUCUUUCUCCUCUGGGCUCCUAAUUUUUACCCACCACUGUCACAUCUGUCAUCACCUCCUAUUGCAUAUUGAUUUUUUGCCUGCUUGCUCACCUCUUUAGGAAUAUCCUUACAAGUGGCCACGACUGGUUCUUCUCUAGGGUAGCUUAUUUCCAGGCUCUGUGAGCCUGUGUGUAAGGCCUGCCUUGGGUGAUUAUAACAAACAAAUGCUGAAGCCCUUUUGGGUGUAUCAUUUCAAUCUUUUAAAGAUGAUUUCCAGUGCUUCCCUCCUUGGGAACUUUCUACUUUCCUGUCACUUUGGUGAUUCUUAUCAGUGUUCCCUGGUAGACAAUUAAUGGUAUGAUUUUUUUGACCAAUUAGCUCAGGAAGCUCAGACUUUAGCAUCUUAAAAAAAAAAAAAAAUCCCCAAGUGGAGUUCCCAUCGUGGCUCAGUGGUUAACGAAUUUGACUAGGAACCAUGAGGUUGUGGGUUCGAUCCCUGGCCUCGCUCAGUGGGUUAAGGAUCCAGCGUUACUGUGAGCUGUGGUGUAGGUCGCAGAUGUGGCUUGGAUCCCGCUUUGCUGUGGCUGUGGCAUAGGCUGGUGGCUACAGCUCUGAUUAGACCCUUAGCCUGGGAACCUCCAUAUGCCAUGGGCGUGGCCCUAGAAAAGCCAAAAAAAGAAAAGAAAAAAAAAAAGAAAAAGAAAAAAGGAAAAAAAAAAAUCCCCAAAUAAUAACCAGCUCAAGAAUACAAAUGUUCUAUGCAGUUCUGGAAUGCUAUCACUUAUUGACUCUAUUCAUUAAAAAAAAAGGUGCAUGCAAAUCUAAAAUCCCCACGCAGAAAAUGGAACUAAUCCACAAAUAAGUGCGUGCCUCAUACACACCUACAUACCAACAAGUAACACGAGAAUCAUAGGAACCUGCAUGUGUAGGUUCUGGAUUCAUCUGGAUUCAUGCUGAACAUUGCUAAGCAUUGUGCCAGCUGCUUCACAGGCCCAGUAUCUUUGACACUAUCCUUGAAAUUCAUGAUGGCAUGAGGGUCAUCACACAUAAGCAUUUUCUUUUUGUCCCUCUGAACAAAGUGAACAUUGACCCGGAUACAGGGAAGGAUCCUAGCUGGGGUCACUCACAUCGCUUGAAUCAUAACAAGAGAAAGAGUUUUGCAGUCUCCGAACUUUUUUCAAGCAGAAGCAAGCUGCUGUUCCUGAGAUAAAGCAGUGUGAGUUCUCAUAUACAGAGUUAGUGAUGCAUGGCAUUGAGGGGAGAGGUGAGGGGGGAACUCAAUCAUUGCAUCAAACUGCCGUUUUCAAUUUUACAAAGAACUCUUGCAUGUGUUCUUAUUUGAUAAUAGCCUCACAGAAUCAAAGGCUUUUCACCAUAGCAACCUUAGUAGUUGGCCCUUUUUAACAUUGAAGAAACUGAGGCUCAAAUGCUUAAGUGACUCCCUUAGAGUGACAAAACUAGUUAAGUGGUAGGAGAUGGGAUUACUGAGUCCAGGGUCUACGGGUUUAGCUUUUGUUUUUUUAGGACAUGCUUGCUUAAAAAAAGACAGCACUAGUGAGAGACAGUUUCACACAGAGGAAAGCAAAAAUUGAGCCAACCACAGAAGCACCCUCUUUCAAUUAUACAGUGGUUAACACUUAAAAUUACUUUCCCAGUACCCUAAAUGACUGCCCUUACAAAGCAAAUGCACUGCCUAAACCAUGGCUGCAUGCUUUUUCUUUACUUGGAAAGAUCUCUCGGAGAGCAUUACUAAAAAUAACUUCAUUAUCUGUAAUAGAAACUCAUCUAUCACCAUUCUAAUUAGAAUGUGACUAAAGAAAUCAGUAGUGAACAAAGGCGUUUUGGACAUUUGGUGCCUAUAAUAAUGGCUUUGAAGUUCCAGGGAAAAGUCAGUUUUCCAAAUGUCUCCUCAUUUAUAUCUCUCACUCACCAUUCUUCUCAGUUCUCAAAGAAACUGUUUUUAAAUAUAUAUAAUAAUGGUAAUAGACAUUUGCAGAAACUGGAAAAAUAGAACAGCACAAAGAAGGAAAAAAAAACCUUAUAUGCUCUCCUCUCAGAGAAAAUCACUAUUUUGAUGCGCCUGAGCAUUUUCUGCACAGAUAAGCAUUUCUGCCUACUUAGCACCAUAGUGUAUAAACUCUUUUGUUACCCACUUUCACACUUAUUAGAAUUAUUUCCUCCAUCAGGUAGAUAUUCUACAGUUUUUGGUGGUUGCACAGUAUUCUACUUACUAAAUAGCAUUAUUUAUAAAUUUUCCACUUCACUGAAUAGUUACUGAUUUUUAUGAGCAACUGUGCUAAAUAGCCUUUUAUAUUAAUUUCUGUAAACCUGUCAUAUUGAAGAAAAAUUCCCAGAAACAGAUUUGCUGGGUCAAAUCUUUACACAAAAUUUAAGAAUAUACAUCUUGGGAGUUCCCGUCGUGGCGCAGUGGUUAACGAAUCCGACUAGGAAACAUGAGGUUGUGGGUUCGGUCCCUGCCCUUGUUUAGUGGGUUAACGAUCCGGCGUUGCUGUGAGCUGUGGUGUAGGUUGCAGACGUGGCUCAGAUCCCGCAUUGCUGUGGCUCUGGCGUAGGCCAGUGGCUACAGCUCCGAUUCGACCCCUAGCCUGGGAACCUCCAUAUGCCGUGGGAGCGGCCCAAGAAAUAGCAA
rnacentral:lncRNA from 1 species